AUUGAACGCUGGCGGCAGGCCUAACACAUGCAAGUCGAGCGGAUGAGUGGAGCUUGCUCCAUGAUUCAGCGGCGGACGGGUGAGUAAUGCCUAGGAAUCUGCCUGGUAGUGGGGGACAACGUUUCGAAAGGAACGCUAAUACCGCAUACGUCCUACGGGAGAAAGCAGGGGGACCUUCGGGCCUUGCGCUAUCAGAUGAGCCUAGGUCGGAUUAGCUAGUAGGUGAGGUAAUGGCUCACCUAGGCGACGAUCCGUAACUGGUCUGAGAGGAUGAUCAGUCACACUGGAACUGAGACACGGUCCAGACUCCUACGGGAGGCAGCAGUGGGAAUAUUGGACAAUGGGCGAAAGCCUGAUCCAGCCGAUGCCGCGUGUGUGAAGAAGGUCUUCGGAUUGUAAAGCACUUUAAGUUGGGAGGAAGGGCAGUAAGUAAUACCUUGCUGUUUGACGUUACCAA
rnacentral:rRNA from 1 species